UUGUUUAAGCGACUGCCUUCGGCUCAGUUCAUGAUCCUGGAGUCUCCGGAUCGAGUCCCGCAUCGGACUCCCUGCUCACACCCCUGCGAUUUCCCCAAAUGUGGGAAACUCGACUGCAUAAUUUGUGGUAGUGGGGGACUGCGUUCGCGCUUUCCCCUG